CAGUCGAGGGGCAGCGGGGGUGAUGGCUUGCCAUCGCCUGCCGGCGACCGGCGCACGGGUGAGUAACACGUAUGCAACCUGCCCGCCACAGGGGGAUAAGCGGAAGAAAUUCCGUCUAAUACCGCGUGACGCGGCGCCGGGGCAUCCCGGUGCCGCCAAAGGGAUUACCGGUGGCGGAUGGGCAUGCGGCGCAUUAGCUAGUCGGCGGGGUAACGGCCCACCGAGGCGACGAUGCGUAGGGGUUCUGAGAGGAAGGUCCCCCACACUGGUACUGAGACACGGACCAGACUCCUACGGGAGGCAGCAGUGAGGAAUAUUGGUCAAUGGGCGGGAGCCUGAACCAGCCAAGUCGCGUGAGGGAUGACGGUCCUACGGAUUGUAAACCUCUUUUGCCGGGGAGCAAGCGUGCGUUCGUGAACGCACGUCGAGAGUACCCGGAGAAAAAGCAUCGGCUAACUCCGUGCCAGCAGCCGCGGUAAUACGGAGGAUGCGAGCGUUAUCCGGAUUUAUUGGGUUUAAAGGGUGCGUAGGCGGGAUGCCAAGUCAGCGGUAAAAAUGCGGUGCUCAACGCCGUCGAGCCGUUGAAACUGGCGUUCUUGAGUGGGCGAGAAGUAUGCGGAAUGCGUGGUGUAGCGGUGAAAUGCAUAGAUAUCACGCAGAACUCCGAUUGCGAAGGCAGCAUACCGGCGCCCUACUGACGCUGAGGCACGAAAGCGUGGGUAUCGAACAGGAUUAGAUACCCUGGUAGUCCACGCAGUAAACGAUGAAUGCUAACUGUCCGGCGCGAAUGAGCGCUGGGCGGUACAGCGAAAGCGUUAAGCAUUC
rnacentral:rRNA from 1 species